GGGGGGAAGUCGGAUCCUGGGCUGUGUCCCCAGCGCCCUGUGCUCCCGGGCCUGUGCUGUUGGAUUCACGUUCCCCGCUGGGCAGCACCCC
rnacentral:pre_miRNA from 1 species